CGGCUCAGGCUGGCAACAGAGCUAGCACAAGUCGGUGCAGUCCGCCCCAUGACGGAUUUC
rnacentral:SRP_RNA from 12 species